GUGCAAUGGUAGCGCGUUCGACUCCAUAUCGAAAGGUUGGGCGUUCGAUCCGCUC
rnacentral:tRNA from 1 species